UACGUAGGUGGCAAGCGUUGUCCGGAAUUACUGGGCGUAAAGCGUGCGCAGACGGUUGCGUAAGUCAGAUGUGAAAGCCCCGGGCUCAACCUGGGAAUUGCAUUCGAGACUGCAUAGCUAGGGUGCGGAAGAGGGAAGCGGAAUUUCCGGUGUAGCGGUGAAAUGCGUAGAUAUCGGGAGGAACACCAGUGGCGAAGGCGGCUUCCUGGCCUGUUCUUGACGCUGAGGCGCGAAAGCUAGGGUAGCAAACGGG
rnacentral:rRNA from 1 species